rnacentral:rRNA from 1 species
UACGUAGGGCGCAAGCGUUAUCCGGAAUUAUUGGGCGUAAAGAGCUCGUAGGCGGUUUGUCGCGUCUGCCGUGAAAAGUCCGGGGGCUCAACUCCGGGAUCUGCGGUGGGUACGGGCAGACUAGAGUGAUGUAGGGGGAGACUGGAAUUCCUGGUGUAGCGGUGAAAUGCGCAGAUAUCAGGAGGAACACCGAUGGCGAAGGCAGGUCUCUGGGCAUUUAACUGACGCUGAGGAGCGAAAAGCAUGGGGGGGGCGAAACAGG